ACAACUGCAGCGAGAGAAGAGGCUGGCAGCAUGGGUGGCAGGAGGCUUGGCAGCCUCACAGGAUGCCUGCAAAUACCUUUCACUUAUGCAGUUUGGCAGUGCAGUGGUGCAUGGAGACAGCGUCUUGGGCCUGAGAUGAACCAUCCAAUCUCCUGCCUCGAGUAUUGAAGCCUGGCUACUGUGACUGUGGGGAAGGGAUUAAUGGUCCCAGCAUUCAAUAAGAGUCCUGAAGCUCAGAUGACACAGCUGAUAACAGGGAAGCCAGGACAGAAUCUCAUUGUUUUGAACACCAAAACCCGUUCCCUUGACAACUUGGCUAUACUACACUAUUCGAAUGUUGCAGAUACUGUGGUCACAUUUCAAAGGCCAGAUCUUUCCCAGGGCUUAAGCUGUUCCUUGGAUACUUUUGCUGAUGGUUUACACAUCUUCUUCCCACAUUAUAUUGUAACUUUCUU
rnacentral:antisense_RNA from 1 species